rnacentral:rRNA from 1 species
AUUGAACGCUGGCGGCAGGCCUAACGCAUGCAAGUCGAACGGUAACAGGAAGCAGCUUGCUGCUUCGCUGACGAGUGGCGGACGGGUGAGUAAUGUCUGGGAAGCUGCCUGAUGGAGGGGGAUAACUACUGGAAACGGUAGCUAAUACCGCAUAAUGUCGCAAGACCAAAGAGGGGGACCUUCGGGCCUCUUGCCAUCGGAUGUGCCCAGAUGGGAUUAGCUUGUUGGUGGGGUAACGGCUCACCAAGGCGACGAUCCCUAGCUGGUCUGAGAGGAUGACCAGCCACACUGGGACUGAGACACGGUCCAGACUCCUACGGGAGGCAGCAGUGGGGAAUAUUGCACAAUGGGCGCAAGCCUGAUGCAGCCAUGCCGCGUGUAUGAAGAAGGCCUUCGGGUUGUAAAGUACUUUCAGCGGGGAGGAAGGGAGUAAAGUUAAUACCUUUGCUCAUUGACGUUACCCGCAGAAGAAGCACCGGCUAACUCCGUG